UACGGCCACAUCGCGUUUUUAAAACACCGGUUCCCGUACGAUCACCGAAGUUAAGCAACGUCGAGCCUGGUCAAAUAUCUAUAUGGGUGACCGCUUGAAAAUACCAGGUGCUGUAAG